GUGUUCACUUCGGCAGCACAUAUACUAAAAUUGGAACAAUACAGAAAAGAUUAGCAUGGCCCCUGCAUAAGGACACGCAAAUUCAUGAAGCAUUCCAUAUUUUU
ensembl:snRNA U6 U6 spliceosomal RNA